UUUGGUUCAAAUUGUGUUGGGUUGGUUUGACCCAUGCAUUGGUUGAUUCUCUUGGUUGGGCCUGUGUGUGUUGGCCCAUGCAUUAGGAAUAAUUAUUUCCCAUGCAAACUAACAUUAUUUUGGCCCAUGGAUUUUGCUAAAAAAUUUACUCUGCCAACCAUUAUGCACAGUACGCAUCUUUUUGCUUCUCUUAUAUACACGUUUUUCUGUUCUUCUUUUUUUUACCCUAAUUCAUUCCUUUCAUAAAUAAAAUCCUAGCCGUCACAUCCCUCUUGAAUUCUCUAAAAACGCUGCUCAAUUCAUCCAUCAAAAUCAUUCUAAAUUCGAACCAAAUUGAGAUCCGUCUUAUUCCAGCGAUAGUGACCUCAAUCCUUUACGAUUCUAAAGUUUCGGAAUCGGAACCGACCCGUCGACUGCUCGUGCUUCGGAGUCUACGCAUGGUUAGCUGUUUGCCAAGAUCACGUGGAUAAGCAAGCAGUGAGUUUGUAGUGCUAUUUACCGCUUUAUUAAGUACCGCACUAUAUUUUAGUAUUAUAAAUGCUUUUAAUUGUUUUAAGCGAUUAUGGAUCUGGAUUGAAAUGAGCUACUCGAGACUGUGUGCACCGGUGAGUACUCUGGGAAACGGCAGACUAAAGUUUAGCUUACGCUGGUAUAUUUAUGACGAGGAUUUGUUCUCGUCCACUCUGGGUUUAUCAGUAUGCUAUGUCAUACUUACGCUGGGAUCUUUUCAAUACUGUUUUCUAUAAUCGUAUUAUAUUUGUAUAAAAAUGUUUGA